rnacentral:rRNA from 1 species
GACGAACGCUGGCGGCGUGCUUAACACAUGCAAGUCGGACGAUGAAGCUGGAGCUUGCUCUGGCGGAUUAGUGGCGAACGGGUGAGUAACACGUGAGAAAUCUGCCCUUGACUCUGGGAUAACUGCGGGAAACUGUAGCUAAUACCGGAUACUUUCCCUGGUGGGCAUCCACUGGGGAAGAAAGAAUUUCGGUCAAGGAUGAUCUCGCGGCCUAUCAGCUUGUUAGUGAGGUAUGGCUCACCAAGGCGACGACGGGUAGCCGGCCUGAGGGGGUGACCGGCCACACUGGGACUGAGACACGGCCCAGACUCCUGCGGGAGGCAGCAGUGGGGAAUAUUGCACAAUGGGCGAAAGCCUGAUGCAGCGACGCCGCGUGAGGGAUGACGGCCUUCGGGUUGUAAACCUCUUUCAGUAGGGAAGAAGCGAAAGUGACGGUACCUGCAGAAGAAGCACCGGCUAACUACGUGCCAGCCGCCGCUGUAA